rnacentral:lncRNA from 1 species
AUCAGAGAUAUCUGACUUCUCCUUCCAUUGCUGGCUUUGAGUCUGGAUGAAGCGGUUUAUGAGCCGAGGAAUGUGAAUGGUCUUUAGAACCUGAGAACAAUGCCCCUCUGACAGACACUGGAAUCUCUGUCCUAUGGCUGGAUAGAACCCAAUUCUGCCAACCUUAAUAAGCAUGGAAGUGGAUUAUCCCCCAGAGCUCCACAUAAGAAUUCGGGUCAGCUGACACCUUGAAUUACUCUUAAAAUUAUUAUCCUAAAUGAAAGAGGCAAGACAAAAAGAAAAAUUUAAUACAUUUUCCAUCUUAACUAAGCACUUAAUACAUGCUGGACAAAGGAAUGAUUUACAUCCCAGAUAGGAUGGAACGGAACAAAGCAAGGGAAUUCUACUCUAGGCUCAAGAAGACAUCUGGCAGCAGUGUGGAUCAAGAUCUGCCUUGUGGACAAUUGCUGGAAAGAUGUGAUAAUUCCAUUUUCUGUAGAACAGCCGAGUGCAUGUUAUUAAAUGUCAAGUAUUUCCACAAACAGCUGGAUAAAUGAAGCAAUG